rnacentral:rRNA from 1 species
UUCCGGUUGAUCCUGCCGGACCCGACUGCUAUCGGAUUGAGACUAAGCCAUGCGAGUCAACCCGCAAGGGUGGCGGACGGCUCAGUAACACGUAGUGAACCUGCCCUGGGGACGUGGACAACCAUGGGAAACUGUGGCUAAACCGCGAUAGGUCAUUGUUUCUGGAAUGGGCAAUGGCUCAAACCUACAUGGCCCCAGGAUGGCACUGCGGCCGAUCAGGUUGUUGGUGAGGUAAUGGCCCACCAAGCCUGUAACCGGUACGGGCUCUGAGAGGAGGAGCCUGGAGAUGGGCACUGAGACAAGGACCCAGGCCCUAUGGGGCGCAGCAGGCGCGAAACCUCUGCAAUAGGCGAAAGCCUGACAGGGUUACUCUGAGUGACUUUCGCUAAGAAAGUCUUUUGACAUCUGUAAAAAUGGUGUAGAAUAAGGGGUGGGCAAGUCUGGUGUCAGCCGCCGCGGUAAUACCAGCACCCCGAGUGGUCGGGACGAUUAUUGGGCCUAAAGCAUCCGUAGCCGGUUUUACAAGUCCUCCGUUAAAUCCAACUGCUUAACAGAUGGGCCGCGGAGGAUACUAUAAGACUAGGAGGCAGGAGAGGCAAGCGGUACUCAGUGGGUAGGGGUAAAAUCCGUUGAUCCAUUGAAGACCACCAGUGGCGAAGGCGGCUUGCCAGAAUGCGCUCGACGGUGAGGGAUGAAAGCUGGGGGAGCAAACCGGAUUAGAUACCCGGGUAGUCCCAGCUGUAAACGAUGCAGACUCGGUGAUGGACCAGCUUAAUGCUAGUCCAGUGCCGCAGGGAAGCCGUUAAGUCUGCCGCCUGGGUAGUACGGUCGCAAGACUGAAACUUAAAGGAAUUGGCGGGGGAGCACCACAAGGGGUGAAGCCUGCGGUUCAAUUGGAUUCAACGCCGGA